rnacentral:rRNA from 1 species
UUUAGUAUUAAAGGGGUUCUUUAAAUUAAAAAAAUUUGGCGGUAUUUAAUUCUUAUUAGAGGAAUUUGUUAUUUAAUCGAUGGUCCCCGAGAAUCUUUCCUUAUUUUGUAUUUCAGCUUAUAUAUCGUUGUCUUCAGAUUACAUUAAUAGAUGUUUUCAAAAAAAAUUUUUUAAGUCAAAUCAAGGUGUAGUUUAUAUUAAGGUUAUUAUGAAUUACAUUAAAUGUAUUUAUAUGAAUGUUAUUUUGUAAUAGAUAAUUGAAAGUGGAUUUGAUUGUAAAUUUUAUUUAUUAUAUAUUUUUGAAAAAGUUUUAUAUAUGU